UGGGGAAUUUUGGACAAUGGACGCAAGUCUGAUUCAGCCAUGCCGCGUGCGUGAAGAAGGUCUUCGGGUUGUAAACCGCUUUUGUCAGGGAAGAAACGAGUUUCUCUAAUACAGAGACUUAUUGACUGUACCUGAAGAAUAAGCACCGGCUAACUACGUGCCAGCAGCCGCGGUAAUACGUAGGGUGCCAGCGUUAAUCGGAAUUACUGGGCGUAAAGCGUGCGCAGGCGGUUAUGCAAGACAGAGGUGAAAUCCCCGGGCUCAACCUGGGAACUGCUGUGGUGACUGCAUAGCUAGAGUACGGUAGAGGGAGAUGGAAUUCCGCGGGUAGCAGUGAAAUGCGUAGAUAUGAGGAGGAACACCGAUGGCGAAGGCAGUCCCCUGGACCUGUACUGACGCUCAUGCACGAAAGCGUGGGGAGCAAACA
rnacentral:rRNA from 1 species